UUUCCGUAGGUGAACCUGCGGAAGGAUCAUUACUUAUGUAAGGCCACACGGCCAGCUUUCCGAAAGGAUCGAGCUUGCUGUGUGAACCCUACCGACCCUUGCUCUUUGCGUACCCAUUGUUUCCUCGGCAGGCUUGCCUGCCCGUGGGACCCUCUUAAACCCUUUGUAAUUGCAGUCAGCGUCAGAAACAAAGUAAUCGUUACAACUUUCAACAACGGAUCUCUUGGUUCUG
rnacentral:misc_RNA from 1 species